AUAUUAUUUGAUGUAAUGAUGAUUUUGCAUUAAUUGUGACAAUAGUCACAUCUAAACUUUUUGGGGGCAUUAAAUGUUGAUGUCACUUCGGAAUAAUGAAAAUAAUCUCACUUGUAACGGAACCGAAUCGCGUCAACGUGAAACAAAAAAUCUUCAACUGAACCGGAACAGUGUACGUAACUAAACCUGCUAAACUAAACCGUACAUUUCAACAGUUACUAAGAGAGAAGCGCAAGGGCAGAAGCGUCAUUUUGCAGGCGAAAAGGCAAAUGGUGAAAACCACAUUUGACUUUGACAAUCCAUGAAAAUAAAACAUGGUCAACGGGUGUGGCCUGUAAUUUACCCUAGUAUUAAACUACCCUCACAAUAUUGUAGUUCACAAAAUGCUUCCCAAAUAAUAGUAUAGAUCAAAAGAAAAUACAAAUGAGUUAUCCAAACCAUAUUAUGUUAAAACGUAAAAAUCCCUUAUAU
rnacentral:sRNA from 1 species